UUAGAGACUUGUAAAAGUGGAAGCUAAAGA
rnacentral:piRNA from 1 species